GGACGAACGCUGGCGGCGUGCUUAACACAUGCAAGUCGAACGGAAAGGCCCUGCUUUUGUGGGGUGCUCGAGUGGCGAACGGGUGAGUAACACGUGAGUAACCUGCCCUUGACUUUGGGAUAACUUCAGGAAACUGGGGCUAAUACCGGAUAGGAGCUCCUGCUGCAUGGGGGGGGUUGGAAAGUUUCGGCGGUUGGGGAUGGACUCGCGGCUUAUCAGCUGGUUGGUGGGGUAGUGGCUUACCAAGGCUUUGACGGGUAGCCGGCCUGAGAGGGUGACCGGCCACAUUGGGACUGAGAUACGGCCCAGACUCCUACGGGAGGCAGCAGUGGGGAAUAUUGCACAAUGGGCGGAAGCCUGAUGCAGCAACGCCGCGUGCGGGAUGACGGCCUUCGGGUUGUAAACCGCUUUCGCCUGUGACGAAGCGUGAGUGACGGUAAUGGGUAAAGAAGCACCGGCUAACUACGU
rnacentral:rRNA from 1 species